UACAUAGGGUCCGAGCGUUGUCCGGAAUUACUGGGCGUAAAGAGCUCGUAGGUGGUUUGUCGCGUUGUUCGUGAAAACUCACAGCUCAACUGUGGGCGUGCGGGCGAUACGGGCAGACUUGAGUACUGCAGGGGAGACUGGAAUUCCUGGUGUAGCGGUGGAAUGCGCAGAUAUCAGGAGGAACACCGGUGGCGAAGGCGGGGUCUCUGGGCAGUAACUGACGCUGAGGAGCGAAAGCGUGGGGAGCGAACAGG
rnacentral:rRNA from 1 species